rnacentral:rRNA from 1 species
AGAGUUUGAUCCUGGCUCAGAACGAACGCUGGCGGCGUGGAUUAGGCAUGCAAGUCGAACGAGAAUCCCGUGAACGGAAGCUUCGGCCGAAGGGAUCGGGAGGACAGUGGCGAACGGGUGAGUAACGCGUAAGCAAUCUACCCUUGACUGGGGAAUAACCCCGCGAAAGCGGGGCUAAUACCGCAUACGAUCUUCCGGCGACAUCGCCGGAUUAUUAAAGAUGUGUUCCUUUUAGGGAUAUGUCGGUCGAGGAUGAGCUUGCGUCCUAUUAGCUUGUUGGUAGGGUAACGGCCUACCAAGGCUUUGAUGGGUAGCUGGUCUGAGAGGAUGGUCAGCCACACUGGGACUGAGACACUGCCCAGACUCCUACGGGAGGCUGCAGUCGAGAAUCAUCCGCAAUGGGCGAAAGCCUGACGGUGCGACGCCGCGUGGAGGAUGAAGGCCUUCGGGUUGUAAACUCCUUUCACCCGGGAAGAAAAAUCAUCCCGUGAACAACGGGAUGACCUGACGGUACCGGGAGAAGAAGCCCUGGCUAACUCCGUGCCAGCAGCCGCGGUAAUACGGAGAGGGCGAGCGUUGUUCGGAUUUACUGGGCGUAAAGGGCAUGUAGGCGGCUUGAUAAGCUCCGGGUGAAAUUUCCGCGCUCAACGCGGAACAGAGUCGGAGAACUAUCAGGCUUGAGUUCAGGA